CAUCUUCAUUUGAGAAACAGAAACAGCGCCGUUUCUACUCUAGCCUCUCUUUCACUAUUCAUCCAUGGGUAAGACACCACCACCUUCAUCCUUUAUCGUUUCCACCACCACCACCCCACAUCUUCUUUGUUGUUUUCUUCACCACCACCUUCAUCCCCUUACACUCACACUCUUUUUUCACUCUCACACUUACCACUAAGCUUUGAAACCCUAAAUCUAACUGAAAUGCAAUAUUUUCUAGCUGAAGAACCUUCGUUCCUCUCUGACCAUGGUUUUUUGUCCACUCCUAAAAAAAGAAGUUUAAUGCUUUAUGUAUGUGUUCAACCUUUGGGAUACUGCUAGAAAUGUUUGUGAUUUUAUUUAUAUUUUGGUGGAUUCUCUAACUUUUAGUGGUUCUUAAUCGAUUUUUCCUGUUUGUGAAACAGGACUGGAGGAUUAUAACAGAGCAAGAUCUUUGAGUUAAUGUGAUGUCUUAUUCAAAGGUUCAAUUCUUAUUUUUUACUUUUUCCUUUUUGGAGAUUGUUAAUGGAUUUGUUGUGUUUCUUUGUGAAACAGGGGCUAGAGGAUUAUAAUAGAAGGUGACAUUUGUGUUUCAGGAUUUUUGGAUAUUCUUGAUGUAUGCUGAGGUUGACUUAACUUGAAUUAAGGUGACCAUGGUGGUUGAAUAAAGAUGCAAUUGAGAAAUUGUGAGUUUGUUGGAGAUUUGAAGCUUGACUCUUUGGUCAUGUGUACAUUUGAGUUCGUUAUGGCUGAACUUCAGGAAAUAUUUUGGAGAAAACUUAAUUGAAGAAAUAUUGGAGAAAACUUGAUUUGAGGAAACUUUCUCCUAACAGAGAUAUUAUUUGAUACACUUGGGCUUAUGAAUUGCUGGAUUUUGUUUGGAUUUUCAAAUGAACUAUGCGCAGAAACUGAAUCAGGUGCUGGAGGGGUUGUUUUAUGACCAAUAACACAUAUGUUGCAAACAUAACAAAGAUGAAGAAACAAAGAUCAAUGAAGAAGAGAUAAUAAUUGAGACAAGUUCUAUUGGAUGCAGCAUAAUAUAUUUGGACUUAAUUGAUUGUAUUUAUCAAAUUAUUGGUUGUUGGAUCAAAUUAUAAAAUAACUCAAUGUUAAAUGAUUAACUGGAUCCAAAUAA